UGCCAUAGCCUCCUGUAUACUUUCAUGCCUGCCCAUCAGCACCGACAGCGCAGGGAACUGGUCGUCGUGCCUAGUUCUUUCGCUCACCACCAGUUGGCGGUGCUACCCCAGAAUAGAAAUACAGGAUGCUCUACCGCAGCGUGUGCUGUAGCAUAACUAUAUAUCACAUUAUUUUUUUUGUCGGUGCCAAUUAUAUCGUUUUAAGACAUCUGCGGCAUUUAACGCCGACACAGAUGCCUACAGGCCACUGCGAAUUGCCUCUGCCUCAGGAAAAAGAAAAAAAAAACGAUAAAAGGAAAACCACAGCUCUCAUCUGUACUGCUAUGAAACUUAAUUUUCCUUCUGCUUAUUAUAACAUAUGUAUUGUAUGUCAGUGUGGAAAAAACAUCGGCUCAAUAACUGCACAAGAAACACUUUUAUUGCCAUCAUUUGGAUUUAAAGUUUGUGGAGCUUUCAUGACAGGGGCUUCUCUAAAAAAACUUUUGCGAUGUUGUUCUUGUCCGUUAUCUUCAGGGCAAAAUUAGUGAAUAGAGGGCGGAAGAACUUCAUCAGCAUGAUCUCAAACAGCUUCAAGUGAUGCUCAGACACUGAAAACUUGAAUAGUUCAUGCUCUCGCAGCACCUGAGGAGCAUUCACGACAGUCUCCCUCAGCGGCUGCUUAAAAUUUCUUCGUUAGCAAGCAAUACUUCAACAUACUUGUGCAAAGAGUUCGUCUGACGAAUACAUUCGUCUGACGGAUACAACAGACCGCCUCUGUCUUAAAGUGUAAUCUGAGAAUCUGAUAUUGCCGAGGGCUUUGGCUUUGUAAACAAACUGAGACCUGAGGCAUUCUUUGCAAGACACCCGCUCAUUAACAGCUCUUAACAGGUAUCUGCCAGCGAUAGCUGGUGCUGCACAUUCUGGCAAACGAAGCGUUUCAUUGUGCCGGGGGGUGUGGUUGACCAGCGCUGCUAUCACCUCUUUGGAAAAUUCUUCGGAUGGUUCUGGCAUAGUGCUUACGUGCAUUUGCCAGCGUAGCGAUGAGCAUGUGGUGUCUUUCGUGUCCAUCACAUUGCUGCUUUUUGAUUUUGAUGCAAUGCCUGUCUUUAAAAACGUUCUUGUUCCGCACAAAGUUGCUUGCACGUCUGCUGGUCGUUGCUUCCAGCUGACCUCCUCAAUCACCCCCAAAAAAAAGAUUCAAUGGCGUCGGACGAGAGCUUUCUAGUCGGAACAAAUCGAAAGUGCAUCUCUGUCGGCAAGUAUCUGAUGCAUUCCUCAUUUGAGCGAAUAUAACUUUGUGCCACUUCUCUCUAAGUUCGUCAUCGCUCGCAAUUUCAUGAAAUGAGAUGCCCGAGACCUUUCUCUUACUGUACGAGGUGCAUCCAGGUACACAACAGUACGCCACACCACUGGGUGUCAACUCGCAAAGCGCCCCAUCAAAUCACCUAAAGUAGCAUAACUCACUUGUGACCACUAUGUCUUCUCUUCGGCCACAAGGCUCUCGUUUGCGUAGCUGCUAGACGUCCUCAAUGAGGCACCGACAGUGUUGCCACAGCCACAGUCCUUCAAUACCGUGCCACAGCUCACCACGUCCAUCAAAGGCAGAAGACGAAGACAAGUUUUUUCCCACCCGUGGACUGCUGCAGAAAAGUGGUGAUCUCUCAGCAAACCAGCGAACUGUCAGCAAACGAGGCAAAUGAGAGUUGUCUCGAUUUGACUCUAAUGGAAACGUGGGCACUAAAUUUUUUGCGCCUAUGCACGGCGGCUAGCGAACUAUUCUCAGGUAGCAGCGCCCUAAGCGGGCGACGUGCGAGGAGGUCAGGCAAGGAGGUUGAACGGCGCUCCCGGAGUGAGUGUGCGGGCACAAGAAGUAUAUAGGAAGCUAUGGUCAUGCGUAUUAGCUUCCCGUUUGUUAUGUUUCUUUUCCCAGUUACGUCCAGAAACUGCUCCAUAUUAAAAUAACCAAUUGUGAAAAAAAGUGUUUAAGGAUCAACUGAACUGCCAGGCAGCAAUAAUAGUAUUUACUGAGCAGAUUUUUGAUAGUUUGUUAGUGCCUGUUCAACUUCAAAUAAGGUUUCGUGUGAAAGUAGCUUUGUGCGUCAUCAGGACUGCUGCCACAAGCAUUAUAAGAUGUUACGUUUUCCCGGAUCAUAUAUUUUUUUCUCUGGUCUCCCUGAAUAUAUAUCAACAGAGUUCUACUGCAUACCAUACAGUCUAAUUUUAACGCACACCUUUUUUCCAAGGAAAUGUGGCUGAAAUCUGCCUGUGCAUUACAAUCGGAUACAAAACCAAAACAACAUUCAUGGCAUUUGCAACAGCCUACUUUCAAAGCAAGCUUUAGCACAAUCGUCACCACAAGGUGGCAACAGAAAAAUUUCCAUGCGCAGUUUGCCAGCAAUGACACAGUGCGCUAAUUUAAAAUAUGAGCUGUUUCACAUGCUUAGCUGCCAGCAGCAGAUCCGUCUCAUGUGUUUUUGUCAUAUGGGAGACUUCUAUGUUGUAGUACAAGCUAGUGAAGUGCUUAGGCAAGGCGUGGGCUGCCAUCUCAUAGAAGAUUGUUACGGAGUUCUUCAGGAAAUAUGAGAUACCGAACACAAUGGACUACAUGGAGGAUGACAUGUUGUACACCAAAGACAGUGAGAAAGAGCUGUGGCAGUGGACAGAGUGAAUAAGUCUGCAUUCUCAGAAGAUAAAUUCUGCAGGUUUCAGCUUUGUUGGAUCGUAAAAAUUGAGGUAUGCAAAUCGUAAAGGCGACAGACUUAAGUGACUUGUUGCAAUGGCUCAUACCUUAGAAAUAAUGGCGUCUAGUCGAGUGGUACAAGAAAUGUAGUCAGCAAUGGCUUACCUCCUUAAGGCUGAGGCUACAAACGCUGAGCAAGGUGAAGCAAACAGUGCACACAUUCAUUGAAAUCAACCAUACAACACACAGAACAGCAUAUGUUUCGAUAAAGCAUUGCAUA
rnacentral:lncRNA from 1 species